GAUGAACGCUAGCGGCAGGCCUAAUACAUGCAAGUCGGACGGGAUUCAGGAGCUUGCUUCUGAUGAGAGUGGCGCACGGGUGCGUAACACGUAUGUAACCUACCUUUAUCAGGGGGAUAGCCUCUCGAAAGAGAGAUUAAGCCCGCAUAAAAUCACAGCACAGCAUUGUGUAAUGAUCAAAUAUUUAUAGGAUAAAGAUGGGCAUGCGGAACAUUAGCUAGAUGGCGGGGUAACGGCCCACCAUGGCGACGAUGUUUAGGGGAUCUGAGAGGAUGGCCCCCCACACUGGUACUGAGACACGGACCAGACUCCUACGGGAGGCAGCAGUAAGGAAGAUUGGUCAAUGGGCGGAAGCCUGAACCAGCCAUGCCGCGUGCAGGAAGACGGCCCUACGGGUUGUAAACUGCUUUUAGACGGGAAGAAACCCAGAUACGUGUAUCUGGCUGAAGGUACUGUAAGAAUAAGGAUCGGCUAACCCCGUG
rnacentral:rRNA from 1 species